AUGUGUAAUUUCCUUUUUCAGUUUGCAAGAGUUACAGAGAGAGCUACACUCAGUGGUGACAGACCUGGCACAGAAAGAGCUAGUUAUGAGGAGGUUACAGCUGAGCCACACCUUGAUGGAAACACUGUACCCAGCAAAGGGUGUGUCUGCAGAGGGAGAUGCAACCCAGAGAGAGGAACUAAAGGAAUUAGUGUUACAACAGUGUGAUCUUGUGUCCAAGAUUCUUGAGGAAUAUAAGGAAAUGCAGGAAAUGAGGCCCUAAACUGGAGGAUGCAUUAAACAAGAAAUUUGACUUGACAAGAGAGAACAGAAGGCUGAUGAGUGUUCUGACAGAGAGACAGGAUGCCCAAGCGACCAAAUCAGACAAGUUCACUGAAAACUCUGAUGUACAGGCGGCCAGAGACCGAGUUCAGAAGCUGAUAUGGAGGACAGAGCUACAGAGGAACACCCUACAGGGCUUGAUCCUGGGCAGUGGGGUGAACUGGUCACAAGACGAAAGGCUACAGGAAAUGCUUCUCAGUGUGGGGAAACCGUUAGAUGUGUGAUGAUAAGUGCAAGGCAGAGAGACUUUUGGUGUUUGGGGAAAUCAUUAGAUUGUGCACUGAGGGUGUUGACCUCAGGUGAGAGGGAUAGACACUGUCGAGUCUGGGAAAUUCUUAGGUGCGUAAUGGGUGUGAGGAGAACCAAGCAGAGGGGAAUAUUUCGGCAGAGAGGAAAGAAGUGGCGCGUGUACAUGCAUAUACGGAAUAAUGCAUGGGUUUGUUUGAUGUAUGACUAUGAUAAUGAGAAAGUGGUUAUAUUUUAUGAUUAUCAUAAUGGCUGGUACAAUGACUUCCCUGUUGUACCAGCUGUGAUGAACAGUGUUGACUUAGGCAACUUUUCAUGUAGUACAGAAAUAAUGGUGAGGAUAGUGAACAUUACCAUUCAAAUCAGUAAUCCGCUGUUCUGUCACUAUUUUAUCAUGGGGGCCCUGUCUCUGCCUAUAGCUUAGAGGGAAUGGGAGUGCGGCAUCAUGUUUAUGUCACUACAUUUAUGCUUCCAUUACUGACUAUUUUGGGUUGUAAAGAUAUUUAUGGUAAGUAAUUGGUGCAUUUUCAUUUCACUUUAUCCUGUCAUCGAGCCAUUGCCUUUUCGUUAUUCAUGCCAUGUUCGUUCUCUAUUACUUAGCCCAUUACUGUAUUUCAUCCAAAAUAUUUAAAAUAAAGUGAAAAAUAGU